UCCAAGUCAAGGUAAGCUUUUGGUUUUAUUAAUUUAUUGCCACCUUGGCUGCCGGUGUAACUGCUAAACUGCCUGCUGACUGUACACUGUACUGCAUGAUUGCAGUGGGUUUACACGUUAGUUCUAGUAACUAUGUUGACUGACGUUAGCGAAUAUGGGGAAAAUGAUGUAGGCUCUGUGUAGCGCUUAACGGUUAUGAAAUCAAGGUUUGGCUUGGAAAGGUUUUUUGCCUGGUCACAGACAGCUAAUGUGCACUGAAGUCGACAAGUGAAGGGAAGAUGUGAGAGGAGGAGAUCGCGUAAAUGCGAGAAGGAAUUAUACAAUGAGAAAAGUGAUCAUGUUGUUUUUAUGUGGCUCCUAUGAGGACCAUCUUUAUCAGUGUGUGAUCAGGGGUCCAUCUAUGUGUGAUCAGGGGUGCAUUCAUUCCGUCGAUUCUGGUGAAAACAUUUCUUAAGGGUAAGAAAACGGAAUGAAACAGAUAAAUUGCAGGCAGAGGCUAGACAACCUAGCCAAUGAAUGAAAGUUUACAGAUUUAGAGAAAAAGGAAAAAUUCAAGUAUGGGUGAAUGGAAUAUGAAUAACAGUCAUCCAAUAUGCUGUAAUAGAAAUAAGGCCAUUGGACAAAUUCACCAUGUAUCACUGUCUUUUCGUAUGCGUAGAGCUUACUGCGGCAUCAUGACGAUCUUCACACAAGGAGAAAGAACAUAAUGAUACAGUAGGAAUAUGCAUCCAUCUUAGUACAUCCUCAAUACCCUAACCCAGGUGGCUGUCCUUUAGUUAGGUUGCCUGGAUGCCAAUUCCCAUUCUAGUGUUGUAUAUCAUUCUGUUAUCCUCUGGGCCGACUUGGUGAGGUUGACAUUGACGUUGGUCUGUGGAGUCAGGAGAUUGAUGUUGUCAUUGGUUUGUGGAGUCAGGAGGUUGACACUGACGUUGGUCUGUGGAGUCAGGAGAUUGACGUUGCUUGUUGGUCUGUGGAGUCAGGAUGUUGACGUUGCCAUUGGCUUGUGGAAUCAGGAUGUUAGCGUUGGUCUGUGGAGUCAGGAUGCCCAUGGAUACUCUAAGCUUGUCUUUGUAGGGGGCGAAGACUGGGGAGUCGUACACCAGGCCCACAAUGUACCAUUUCCCUGCAUACACACAGAGGGACUCAAUUAAGCCUACCAGAGUAACCUUACAUUCUAGCCAGUCAUACCCCAGCCUCUUCCCUGCAAGCUGAACAUAACAUGCAGACAGUAGACUACACAUAGAGAGUCAAACCUACACCAGUAUCGUCCUUGGGUUUAAUUAAAGAUCAAAUCAGCAAUUUGACUCUUUCAACAGCGUCAACAACAGGAAGAGUCUGUAAAUCUGGCAGCAAGACAUGUAUCUCAUAAGGCAGUUGUAUGUCCGUGGUUGUCCAGUGUGUCUCCCCCAUGGGCGGAGGGAACUUGGCGUGCAUCGCUAGUCAUCCUGUCAGUGUUGCAACCCUUUGACCCCUAGCACUGUUUGCUUUGGGUUCAGCCUCAGCCUCUGUCCUAAUGCUACCCUGUCCCCACCACCACUGGGACACACCAUUCCCUUCCCUAUCAGACAGCCAAUAACAAACAGAGUACUGAACAUGUGGGGUAGGGUAACAUGUCGAUUACUAAGAACUUAUUUAAAUAAAAGACUCACAGACUAGAGGUCAAAGUGACCAACUAAUUCCUUGGAAAACUGCUUGUGUUUUGAUAUGAGUCAGAAGCAUUUAUUCAAAAUAUUUAUUCAAAAUGUACUACAAAAUGUACUACAAAAUGUACUACAAAAUGUACUACAAAAUGUACUACAAAAUGUACUACAAAAUGUAAAUAGGAUAAUUUUGGCCAUAAAGUCAGUCUUGUCUAAAACAGAGUUUUCAAGCUCAGUGCAUCACAGCGAGUAGGUUGGGUUUGGAUUACAAUUAUGUCAACAAAUCAUACCCCCUCUAUGCCAAGCUCCACGUGCAAAUCCCCCCUCUGUCCACUUCGCUUUCCUUCAUUGAAUUGGCCUCCGUUGUUUCAUCGCCCCCAAUGCGGUCAAAGGAUCACGGCCAUUUGAGACGGACCAUGAAAUACAUGCUUCCAGCACGUUGCACAGCCAACAACCGUGGUUUACGUGGCCUUCCUGAAGGACACUAUUGAGCAGAAAAGGUGGUUGGCAGCCUAGCGGUUAAGAACGUUGGGCCAGUAAUUGAAAGGUUACAGGUUCAAAUGCCCGAGCUGACUAGGUGAAAAAUCUGUCUAUGUGCCCUUGAGCAAGGCACUUAACCCUAAUUGUUCCAGGGUCGCUGUCAGAAAUGGCUGAUCCCUGGCCAUGACCCCACUCUCUGAGGGUCUCUCGGGGGGAGUGGGAUGUUCAAAAAACAAAUGUCCAAUUCACAUGUACUUGUGUGAAACACCUUUUCCAUAUUAUCAUUUUUUUCAAAUGUUAUCAUAAUUAGGUGGGUGUUUACAUUUAACAAAAUCAUAAAAUGGAAAAGGUGUUUUCUACUAAUUAUUUGACUACUUAGGCAAUGUUACUAAGUAAUUUUGACGAAACAGUCAUGUUAGCCUAGGAGGUGCAACCCAUGUCUAGGGCACAAAUAAAUAUUGGAUACACCUCUACUGUAGCUAACUCGUGUCUGACUACAAAAGUGUACUCACUAGCAGCAACAAACUUAACCAACCCAGGGCCAUAGCGUAACAUGUCACAGUUGGUUGUACAGUGUAACGGCGUCACCGGCUUGAAUCCAAUCCUGAGCCAGUCAGUCUACAUCUGUAAAGCAUAGAAAUAACUUCAAAACGUGAUUACGUUAUUUCUUAAGCUAUUUUAGGGAUGAUGACAAUCGUUGACUCGAUUAGACAAAAUGUACAGUUUGGUGCCAGACAGAUCCCCUGGUUAUGAACAGAAUGCCGGAACUUACCAGAACUAGCAAAGGUGGGUAUCAUCACAUAACAUGUGAUAGCUAUGGUUUAGCGACCUCUAAAAAUAAUUUAAUUCACUGUUCGCCAACUAUUUUCGCAGCUUGUCAGGCAGGAUCUCAGAGUAAAAGUGUGUCAUGCAACACAAAUACCCUUGUGGCACCUCCUCCGUUGAUGCCAGAGUCUCCCUCGACUCCUAUGAAAAGGACAUCAUGAAGCCUCUCAUAGUGACCAGAGUUACUGCCCUGAUGACAGACGGCUUUGUCAACAACGAACAGGCCCUCCCAGCCAACACCACCUCAUCAGAUUGCAUGUUGCAGUUGUUGGAGAGAUGUACAGAUGGCAGCAGAACAUGCAGCAUAGUGAAGACUUCACUGUGAGCAUAACAAUGAACGGAUCAGUCAGCCAGCUGUUGGCAAGUAUCCGGUUAGACAAACCUGUCAUCGACAACAGCUUUCACAGGCUCAUCAUUUUGUACAAAUACAGAAGGUAACCCACUUCAUUACUUUGAUACAUUUGAAACCCCAGUAAUGAAACAUAAUGUAUAUAAACUGGCAUUAUUUGUUGUUUUCUACUUCUUAGAUGCGUAUAAUGUCCAGGUCAUAACCUAACCAGGUGGAACCAACCUGAGCCCUGUGUUCACCAUAUAAUGUCCAGGUCAUUACCUAACCAGGUGGAACCAACCUGAGCCCUGUGUUCACCAUAUAAUGUCCAGGUCAUUACCUAACCAGGUGGAACCAACCUGAGCCCUGUGUUCACCAUAUAAUGUCCAGGUCAUUACCUAACCAGGUGGAACCAACCUGAGCCCUGUGUUCACCAUAUAAUGUCCAGGUCAUUACCUAACCAGGUGGAACCAACCUGAGCCCUGUGUUCACCAUAUAAUGUCCAGGUCAUUACCUAACCAGGUGGAACCAACCUGAGUCCUGUGUUCACCAUAUAAUGUCCAGGUCAUAACCUAACCAGGUGGAACCAACCUGAGUCCUGUGUUCACCAUAUAAUGUCCAGGUCAUUACCUAACCAGGUGGAACCAACCUGAGCCCUGUGUUCACCAUAUAAUGUCCAGGUCAUUACCUAACCAGGUGGAACCAACCUGAGCCCUGUGUUCACCAUAUAAUGUCCAGGUCAUUACCUAACCAGGUGGAACCAACCUGAGCCCUGUGUUCACCAUAUAAUGUCCAGGUCAUUACCUAACCAGGUGGAACCAACCUGAGCCCUGUGUUCACCAUAUAAUGUCCAGGUCAUAACCUAACCAGGUGGAACCAACCUGAGCCCUGUGUUCACCAUAUAAUGUCCAGGUCAUUACCUAACCAGGUGGAACCAACCUGAGCCCUGUGUUCACCAUAUAAUGUCCAGGUCAUUACCUAACCAGGUGGAACCAACCUGAGCCCUGUGUUCACCAUAUAAUGUCCAGGUCAUUACCUAACCAGGUGGAACCAACCUGAGCCCUGUGUUCACCAUAUAAUGUCCAGGUCAUAACCUAACCAGGUGGAACCAACCUGAGCCCUGUGUUCACCAUAUAAUGUCCAGGUCAUUACCUAACCAGGUGGAACCAACCUGAGCCCUGUGUUCACCAUAUAAUGUCCAGGUCAUAACCUAACCAGGUGGAACCAACCUGAGCCCUGUGUUCACCAUAUAAUGUCCAGGUCAUUACCUAACCAGGUGGAACCAACCUGAGCCCUGUGUUCACCAUAUAAUGUCCAGGUCAUUACCUAACCAGGUGGAACCAACCUGAGCCCUGUGUUCACCAUAUAAUGUCCAGGUCAUUACCUAACCAGGUGGAACCAACCUGAGCCCUGUGUUCACCAUAUAAUGUCCAGGUCAUAACCUAACCAGGUGGAACCAACCUGAGCCCUGUGUUCACCAUAUAAUGUCCAGGUCAUUACCUAACCAGGUGGAACCAACCUGAGCCCUGUGUUCACCAUAUAAUGUCCAGGUCAUUACCUAACCAGGUGGAACCAACCUGAGCCCUGUGUUCACCAUAUAAUGUCCAGGUCAUUACCUAACCAGGUGGAACCAACCUGAGCCCUGUGUUCACCAUAUAAUGUCCAGGUCAUUACCUAACCAGGUGGAACCAACCUGAGCCCUGUGUUCACCAUAUAAUGUCCAGGUCAUUACCUAACCAGGUGGAACCAACCUGAGCCCUGUGUUCACCAUAUAAUGUCCAGGUCAUAACCUAACCAGGUGGAACCAACCUGAGCCCUGUGUUCACCAUAUAAUGUCCAGGUCAUUACCUAACCAGGUGGAACCAACCUGAGCCCUGUGUUCACCAUAUAAUGUCCAGGUCAUUACCUAACCAGGUGGAACCAACCUGAGCCCUGUGUUCACCAUAUAAUGUCCAGGUCAUUACCUAACCAGGUGGAACCAACCUGAGCCCUGUGUUCACCAUAUAAUGUCCAGGUCAUUACCUAACCAGGUGGAACCAACCUGAGCCCUGUGUUCACCAUAUAAUGUCCAGGUCAUAACCUAACCAGGUGGAACCAACCUGAGCCCUGUGUUCACCAUAUAAUGUCCAGGUCAUUACCUAACCAGGUGGAACCAACCUGAGCCCUGUGUUCACCAUAUAAUGUCCAGGUCAUUACCUAACCAGGUGGAACCAACCUGAGCCCUGUGUUCACCAUAUAAUGUCCAGGUCAUAACCUAACCAGGUGGAACCAACCUGAGCCCUGUGUUCACCAUAUAAUGUCCAGGUCAUAACCUAACCAGGUGGAACCAACCUGAGCCCUGUGUUCACCAUAUAAUGUCCAGGUCAUUACCUAACCAGGUGGAACCAACCUGAGCCCUGUGUUCACCAUAUAAUGUCCAGGUCAUAACCUAACCAGGUGGAACCAACCUGAGCCCUGUGUUCACCAUAUAAUGUCCAGGUCAUAACCUAACCAGGUGGAACCAACCUGAGCCCUGUGUUCACCAUAUAAUGUCCAGGUCAUAACCUAACCAGGUGGAACCAACCUGAGCCCUGUGUUCACCAUAUAAUGUCCAGGUCAUUACCUAACCAGGUGGAACCAACCUGAGCCCUGUGUUCACCAUAUAAUGUCCAGGUCAUUACCUAACCAGGUGGAACCAACCUGAGCCCUGUGUUCACCAUAUAAUGUCCAGGUCAUUACCUAACCAGGUGGAACCAACCUGAGCCCUGUGUUCACCAUAUAAUGUCCAGGUCAUAACCUAACCAGGUGGAACCAACCUGAGCCCUGUGUUCACCAUAUAAUGUCCAGGUCAUAACCUAACCAGGUGGAACCAACCUGAGUCCUGUGUUCACCAUAUAAUGUCCAGGUCAUUACCUAACCAGGUGGAACCAACCUGAGCCCUGUGUUCACCAUAUAAUGCUAUUGGCUUAUCUUGAUAGACUGGUCUCUGUCUAUUUUAUGCAAAUGAGGAUCUAACAAAUUCUUAGAAACAGUUAUUUAAAGUUUAAGUUAUUUAAAUUUAAUUGGUUAAUGAAUAUAUAUAUAGGAAUUGUUAAAUUCCAUAGGAAUUGUUAAAUUCCUUUGACAGGUGAACACAGCGAUCAGGUUGGUUUCACCAGGCUAAUCAUAACCACCAUUGAUAAUGUAAUCAGUGCUCUGUGUGUGUGACCAACCAGUAUCUUUGAUGAGGGGCCAGGAGCUGAUCUAUGCUGCUAUUCUCAUCAAUGGGGCUCUGGCAAAGACCUCACCUCCAGCCUACUCACCGAUGGUCGUCGAUGACAACAGAAUUAGAUGGACUAGAGAUGGUUUUGCCAGCCGGCGUCCUCAGUCACUUGAUGGGCAGACCAUAAUAGGAAACAUGUAUAGAGCCAGCACAUGGAGACAGACGGGCUUGAUACUGACGUCUCUGAAUGGAGAGAGACCUGGUACUCGGCAUUAAAAUGUUACUAGACACAAAUUUGACUUGUAUUGUCUAUUUGUAUUAUUGAAUUGAAUGUUAUCAGUCAAAAUGAGGAGGGAAAACCCUGUGUAUUCUGCACCAGGAUCAGGGAACCCCUGUUGUAUGUGAGGGGGACAGCUGCAGACAAGGUUCUGACAGAUGGGUGUGUCUUGGUGGUGGCAAGGACAUACCCAAGAAACACCCACAUCAAACCACACCCCCAACCCAACUCAUGUUUUGCUUCUGUCAUGGUCACCAGCAAUUCUUGAGGAGCAAGCCAAAAAAAUGAGGCCAAAUCAGCGGUUGCUGUUCCCCGUCAAAGUUACACGCCACCUGCUGACAACAGACUGACUGGCAGGCAAAGAGGGUUCCCUAUUGCCCUCUUAAAAUGAAGUUAAUCGUUUCCCCUCAAAGAUGAGUUCACACUGAUGGAGUUACCCAGAUGGUGUGAUGUGAAAUGCCUUGUUGAAGCAGAGCAGGCCCUUCACUGAUGCACCCUGGGUAAUGAAAGCAAGCAGAUGAAAGAAUGGAGAAAGCGGCAUGAUGACAUGUAUGAGUCUGGUCUCUCAACCUUCUGCCUUCAACAAUACAACAAUUAACAAUCAAACAAUUUAAAUACUUUUUAUUAAUAUGGAUUUGCUGUUGGCAAUGUUUUUUUUAAAUGCAUGAUUUACAGCCAGCUAGUCUUUUAGAUACAAGAUGACGUCAGUGUGUUGCAGACAACACACACCUCACACACAGUAUGACAUACUAAGCAUGGCAGCCUGUCCAACAAAGUAACACACACCUUCCCUUCUCUGCCAUUGCUCAUUGUUCCUGAGUACCACAACAGAACAGAAAAACAAGACAAAUUAAAUGUGCAUCAUGAGGCCAGGUCAGUGAGAAGAACAGGGUAUUAUUAUUUCUGAACUGGAGUGAUUCUUUCUGACCAGAGAUACAGAAUUAUGGCCCAAUCAAUCAUCAGUUAGGAGAAAGAUGUUUUGUUGCCCACACAAUGCACACUACCCCAUGAUAGGUUUAGGUGUCUGAUGCAGUUUUCUUGACAGAUCAAGGGGCUAGAGUGCAUUGAGAAAAAGGUGUAAAAAAAAA